UUCAUUCGAAUCAGACGAGGAAACUGUGUAUUGUGUAAUCUAAAACCCUAAUUUCUCUUCCUUUCACAAUCAUCCCGUUCGCCUUCUUUCUUCCUCCAUCGCCUGCGGCUGCCCUCUCCAUUACUUGUGUCCUUAAAAAGAGAAUUUGCUGGUGAUGUGGUGUUGAGGAUUCUCUGUUUCUCUGCACCUCCCAUACCCAGCAAGAUCGUAGACCAACCUUGCCCCUUUCCCGGAUGAUAAAUUCGUUUAUCGUCCCUGUCAAGGUUGGGAAAUUUCUACGUGAAUAUUCACUCUCUCUUUGCUUUUGGUUGAGUAGUUUUUUAUUGUAGUUUUAGGAUGUCGCGUCUCUAAUGGAUGCUCACUACUUAAUCGGGUUGAAAUUGAUUGUUAAUGGUGUUCGCGAGUAAUGUGGCGCCCCCCAGACUUAGUCAUGUAUCCUUCCUUGAUUUUAAUGGUUUGAUACAGUUACGAGUCUGGAAAAUUGACCGAGUCCAUCGUUACAGAUGUGUGAAACAAUUUGAGCGCACAUCUGCUCCAUGUGGUCUCUACAUGAUAUCAUUGAUUAAUUCUUCCCAGAUUUCCAGCUCAUAACAUUUCUUUAGCCAAUGAUUUUAUUCAGAAGUAUUCUCAAAGACGGUCCACAUUUGAUUUUAUACUUAAUCUUCCAAGUUCUUAACAUUUGUGAGGUGACCUUGAGUACAUGGUAGAUGAGUAUGUCAUUUGCAUCUUUUUCGAGGGGAUGUGGUGUCUCAUCCAAGUGAGGCUUCGCACGUUGUGAGGGGUAGCAUGAACUUUGAAGUUGUCAAGUUGACAAUGGAAGGGAACGACUUUGAAGAGUUGUCAUUAGGAAUUGUGUAUUAAUCAGGCCUUUUUAUCUGUUGAGCAGUGUAUUUUAGCCCUUUUCAUGGACAUCUAUACAUCAGAAAAAACACAUUAGACCCCAAUUAAGCACUAAUGGUUCGUCCAUUAUCACAUUAGUCCUCAGAAAAAUAACUUCAAUUGAUUUGAUUGUUUAUUUCCCAACUUCUGGAUGGCAUGAAGACCCAUACAUAAUCAUAUCAUUUUCUUCCAUUUCUCAAUUGGUGUAUCAUUAUCACGUCCACAUGGGUAUUUGGUCGGGGCAGGCAACAAAUAUACCAACUGCGGAGCAUAUUAUUUUACACAAUGUUUUGUUUUUUGUAGGGUCAUUAAAAUGGAUUCAGAGAAGAACUCGGAUGGAAAUGCUUGUCAUGUCUAUCACGUUUGUUAAUCUGAAAUCACUGAAUAUAUAAUCCAAAGAAUUCCAGAUUUCACUCUUUGUUGAA